rnacentral:lncRNA from 1 species
GUUAAGAUUUAGUUUAAUAUUUGAAGAUUCUAAAUUAUUUCCAUAUAUUCUAUUUCUGUCGUAAUUCCAUGGAAUUAGGAAUAAGUUGAUUUGUUUCCUUUUGUACUCUUGAGACUUAGGAAGCUUUGCAAGUAUAUAAACUGAUGUAAAUUUCCUGUGUACUGCUAUAUACAAGAAAUACAGAGAAUUUAUUCUGCCUUUUUCAAUACAGAAAAUAUAUUCAC